CAUAGCGUAGAUCUCAGCCCUCCAAACCAAAUCCAACGGCUGAGAUUCGUCCACGUCAUCACGAGUUAAAAUUUUACUCACUCGUGAUGAUAUGGACGAAUCUCAGCCGUUGGAUUUGGUUUGGAGGGCUGAGAUCUACGCUAUG
rnacentral:pre_miRNA from 1 species